rnacentral:rRNA from 1 species
UGGAGGGCGCGUGCUAUACAUGCAGUCGAGCGGACCGAGACUGUAGGGCUUGCUCUUGGAUUUCGGUCAGCGGCGGACGGGUGAGUAACACGUGGGCAACCUGCCCGCAAGACCGGGAUAACUCCGGGAAACCGGAGCUAAUACCGGAUAACACCGAAGACCGCAUGGUCUUCGGUUGAAAGGCGGCCUUUGGGCUGUCACUUGCGGAUGGGCCCGCGGCGCAUUAGCUAGUUGGUGAGGUAACGGCUCACCAAGGCGACGAUGCGUAGCCGGCCUGAGAGGGUGACCGGCCACACUGGGACUGAGACACGGCCCAGACUCCUACGGGAGGCAGCAGUAGGGAAUCUUCCGCAAUGGGCGAAAGCCUGACGGAGCGACGCCGCGUGAGCGAAGAAGGCCUUCGGGUCGUAAAGCUCUGUUGUGAGGGACGAAGGAGCGCCGUUCGAAGAGGGCGGCGCGGUGACGGUACCUCACGAGAAAGCCCCGGCUAACUACGUGCCAGCAGCCGCGGUAAUACGUAGGGGGCGAGCGUUGUCCGGAAUUAUUGGGCGUAAAGCGCGCGCAGGCGGUCUCUUAAGUCUGAUGUGAAAGCCCACGGCUCAACCGUGGAGGGUCAUUGGAAACUGGGGGACUUGAGGGCAGGAGAGGAGAGCGGAAUUCCACGUGUAGCGGUGAAAUGCGUAGAGAUGUGGAGGAACACCAGUGGCGAAGGCGGCUCUCUGGCCUGCACCUGACGCUGAGGCGCGAAAGCGUGGGGAGCAAACAGGAUUAGAUACCCUGGUAGUCCACGCCGUAAACGAUGAGUGCUAAGUGUUAGAGGGGUCACACCCUUUAGUGCUGCAGCUAACGCGAUAAGCACUCCGCCUGGGGAGUACGGCCGCAAGGCUGAACUCAGAGGAUUUUUUGGGGGGGGGGACGCGGGAG